rnacentral:rRNA from 1 species
UACGAAGGGGGCGAGCGUUGUUCGGAUUUACUGGGCGUAAAGGGCGCGCAGGCGGCUCAUUUUGUCAGGCGUGAAAGCCCCGGGCUUAACCUGGGAACUGCGUUUGAUACGGAUGGGCUAGAGUUCGGGAGAGGAGCGUGGAAUUCCCAGUGUAGAGGUGAAAUUCGUAGAUAUUGGGAAGAACACCGGUGGCGAAGGCGGCGCUCUGGACCGAGACUGACGCUGAGGCGCGAAAGCGUGGGGAGCAAACAGGG